GCAACAUCAGCUUUAUAUCUCUCGAUUUCUAUUCCUCACAAGAUCCAUUUAUAUCCACUGGUUUUAACAUCAUAUGGCGUCUUAAUCAUAUGGCCAAAUACACCUUUCUUCCUUAAACUAGUUAACCCUACGUUUCCAUUCAAUCCAAUCUGUUCUACGAGUGCUCACUCUUAUAUUGACGUGGGUUCAUGAUCCUCGCUUAUAUUCCUAAAUUCAAAUGUUACCUUGUAUGCAAAUAAAUCAUCUUAUGUCGACAUUCCUUAUUGGUUCCAUUAUAUU
rnacentral:lncRNA from 1 species